AAUGAAUCUAGACAUAUAUAUCUAUCUAGAUUCAUUAACAUCAAUAUGAAUGUGGAAAAUGCUAGAAUGACUUACAUUGUGAAACAGAGGAAGUAUGAAGUAGAUUAAGUCUGAGGAGAAUCAUUGGCACCAUUCCAGUAUAUUCCUUUGAACUGAAUGAGAGCAUCCUUGAGAAUAUAUCCCUUGUCAUGAAUACCAACAAUUGCCAACUGAUGUAGUACUGCUGAGCAUGCAGAUCCACCCCAUAGGGAUUGGAUAUUUCCUGAAUCCAAACUGGUUGCAUUAUAGAGACUGCAUGGACCACUAACAAAUGACCAACUCUAGAUAGGAAUCAGGGCUUUCCUGUACUGGAACUUGUUCUGAAAGCCAAUAUUUAGUCCUUGCUUUGCAUUGAAGUUCAGAGUGAAGAACCUGAUCUCUUAAGUUAUAAAAUUUUUUGAUGGCCAGUUUUGAUAGUGAAUACCCUGAUUUGAAGGUAAGGACUCCAUUCAUCAACAGACAACAUGACAGUGAGGAAUCCUUUACCAUAAAUGAAAAUCUUCUGAUUUUGUGGGCUAAAGGCUGUUCAAUUAAGCCACUGGAUGACCAUUUUGACUCAGCGCAAAGGUUGACCGUUGGAUUUGCCACUGGGAAUUCAUGCUGCCUUGUCCUGGAGAAGGCAUGAUAUCACGCUGUCCCCAUUCCCCAAUGCCUUUUGGCGGUGCUUUCCAGCCCAGAUUGGUCGAUUCUGCACAGUGAGAAGUAAUCAAGUAAAGAUGUGGUGCAGGCCAUGAAAUGUACAAACAGGAAGACAGAUAAAUAUAUUGAGGCAUAAUUGCGUCGAACUCUCAGCUUUUCUGAGAUUAUAUUAAGUAAAUUUUCUCACCUCUUUUGCCGUGGAUAACCUUCUGUGAGUGUCAGAUCAGAAAUCAGUUGUGUUCAGAUGAAAUCUGCUUCCUGUAAACUCAGGCAUGAGACUGUAGCAUAUGCAUUCUCUAGCAAAAGCCUAUUAUUAGCCUUAGAUGGCAGGAUUUUUGCUUAUUUUCUAUGUUUUCUUAUCUCUCUUACGUGUUUCUUUUGUGUUCUCUCUUUUAUAUUAUUCUUGAAUCUUGACUUCUCUUAAAAGUCUGGUAGCAAGCUGGAGUAGCAAUGUGCUGGUACCUUUAUCUUCCA